UACGUAGGCAGCGAGCGUUGUUCGGAAUUACUGGGCGUAAAGAGGGUGUAGGCGGUGCUCCCAGUCUGUUGUGAAAUCUCCCGGCUUAACUGGGAGGGUGCAGCGGAAACUAGAGUGCUAGAGGGUGGGAGAGGUAAGCGGAAUUCCUGGUGUAGCGGUGAAAUUCGUAGAUAUUAGGAAGAACACCAGUGGCGAAGGCGGCUCACUGGCCCGGUACUGACGCUGAGGCGCGAAAGCGUGGGGAGCAAACAGG
rnacentral:rRNA from 1 species